AAGAAUUCUGACCCCACUAAUUAUUUCCCACUAUAGAGCUUUUUCCAUUUGGUUCGUGUAAGUAGAGGGAAAAGUCGUGCGGCUAGUCGACUAGUGCGCACCAUGGCGGGGAUAGCCGAAACUUGCU